rnacentral:rRNA from 1 species
UCAGACGAUGCGUCAUGCAUAUCAAUAAGCGGAGGAAAAGAAACUAACAAGGAUUCCCCUAGUAACGGCGAGUGAAGCGGGAAGAGCUCAAAUUUGAAAUCUUCAAGGUUUUACCUUGACGAAUUGUAGUUUAAAGAAGUGUUUUCUGUUGAAGUUUUGGUGAAAGUUCUUUGGAAUAGGACAUCAUAGAGGGUGAGAAUCCCGUAUUUGACCAUUAUUUUCAGCUGUGUGAUACACUUUCAAAGAGUCGGAUUGUUUGGGAAUGCAGUCCAAAAUGGGUGGUAAAUUUCAUCUAAAGCUAAAUAUUGGCGAGAGACCGAUAGCGAACAAGUACCGUGAGGGAAAGAUGAAAAGAACUUUGAAAAGAGAGUUAAACAGUACGUGAAAUUGUCAAAAGGGAAGCGUUUGACACCAGUGUUGUUUUCUCGAAAAUCAAUUAAAAAGAGUUGGAUUUUGUGUUGUAUUGACCUUAACAGCUUGCUUCACUCUUUUCCUGCUUUUUUUAAUGCACUUUUCGUUUAACAAGUCAACAUCAGUUUCAUUUGUUGUAAAAGGGUCAUUGGAAGGUGGCCUUUCUCUUCGGAGAAAGUGUUUAUAGCCUUCGAUCUCUGCAAUCGGAGAGACUGAGGUCUGCAGCGUAGAUCCUUCGGGGUUAGAUACAUUUGUGCUAAGCUACAGCUUUUCAUAGACAACUUGUUGACUAUGAUUAGUCAUUGUAGCUUACCUCGCUUAUGCUAUUUUACCUACGCUUAGGAUGUUGAUAUGCAUGACUGAUAU